rnacentral:rRNA from 1 species
GACGAACGCUGGCGGCGUGCUUAACACAUGCAAGUCGAACGCUGAAGCUUGGUGCUUGCACUGGGUGGAUGAGUGGCGAACGGGUGAGUAAUACGUGAGUAACCUGCCCUUGACUCUGGGAUAAGCCUGGGAAACUGGGUCUAAUACUGGAUACGACAUGCCACUGCAUGGUGGUGUGUGGAGAGGGUUUUACUGGUUUUGGAUGGGCUCACGGCCUAUCAGCUUGUUGGUGGGGUAAUGGCCUACCAAGGCGACGACGGGUAGCCGGCCUGAGAGGGUGACCGGCCACACUGGGACUGAGACACGGCCCAGACUCCUACGGGAGGCAGCAGUGGGGAAUAUUGCACAAUGGGCGGAAGCCUGAUGCAGCGACGCCGCGUGAGGGAUGACGGCCUUCGGGUUGUAAACCUCUUUCAGCACGGAAGAAGCGAGAGUGACGGUACGUGCAGAAGAAGCGCCGGCUAACUACGUG